GACGAACGCUGGCGGCGUGCCUAAUACAUGCAAGUCGAACGCAGUGGGGACGGGUGAGUAACAUGUGGGUAACCUCCCAUCAGAGGGGAUAACACUUGGAAACAGGUGCUAAACCGAUACUGAUGGAUGGACCCGCGGUGCAUUAGCUAGUGGGUGGGGUAACGGCUCACCUAGGCCACGAUGCAUAGCUGGCCUGAGAGGGUGAUCGGCCACACUGGGACUGAGACACGGCCCAGACGCCUACGGGAGGCAGCAGUGGGGAAUAUUCGGCAAUGGACGAAAGUCUGAUGGAGCCACGCCGCGUGUGUGAAGAAGGUUUUAGGAGCGUAAAGGUCUGUCGUCGGGGAAGCGGUAUCUAACCAGAAAGCCACGGCUAACUACGUGCCAGCCGCCGCGGUAAUAC
rnacentral:rRNA from 1 species